GUCUAGUGGGAUAUCGGGUAUCCGUCCGAAGGUUGUUUAAAUAUUAGUUAUAUAUCAUGUGUACAUAUAUAGUCAUUAAAGUUCUUCCAUAUUCUUACGUACCAGUUACAUCAUUAGUAAGUUACCAUAUGGGUAGCACAGGAUAACACUUAUACUAUUACUAGAACAAUGAGAUGUUCAAUGAGCCCGGUCAUUCAUGAGUCAGUACUUAUUACUAUGAGAACAUAUACAACUAUACUAGAAGAAGAACAUAUACAACUAUACUAGAAAGAGAACAUAUACCACUAUACUAGAAAGAGAACAUAUACAACUAUACUAGAAAGAGAACAUAUACAAUGAUACUAGAACGAGUNGAGUUGUAGCCAGAAUUCUCUUGGAGGGAGAGCGUGAGUUUGCGUAUAGAUCUAUAUUGGAUUGACUAUCCUACACCUUGCUGCUAGCAACAGCCGAACCUGCAGGUCUGCGGGUGCCAAACGUCAUUUCUUUUAUUACGACCAUUCAUUAUGUCGUUGUUACCAGUCGAUAGCAUGGUGCAAUUUAUCACAUUAUGCCUUAAUAUAAAUCCGGUUUAAGGUAGUAGUAUUUAGUACAGCAGUAGUCUUAUUAUACAAAGCUACAGUACUACAAUGAUUUACCCAUUACAUAUUUUAGUGAUAAUCUCACUUAAGCAUUAGUGUACAAACUAUAUUUUUAACAAAUGAUAGUUAUACUUGGGUAAUUACACACUUUUACAACAGACAAGUUUACAAAACAGUUUAGCCUUGGUAGAAGGUUACUUUUAUAGAAAAUAUAGGAUUUUCUGAGAGAUUCAAACUUUUACAAACACUUUCAAACAUUUGCUUAAAUUUUUACAAACUUAUACAUUGAGACAGGUUCAAACGUUUUUACAAGAAACAUUGACACUAAAAUACUUAUGAACUCACCAGCUUAAUGCUGAUAAACUCUUUCAAAAUAACUUGUAUUCUCAGGUCAUCAGUAGACAGGUACCGAGGCCAGCUUUUGAGAAGAUGGAGUGCAUUCAAGACUCAUCUCAUAUUAUUUUGUGUUUCAUUAUUUUUGGUGUCUAUAACUGUACAGAACACACUUGUAUUAAAAUUAUAUAUUUAAUGCAAUGGAUGAUGUUGUUUGCUUAUUUACAUUUACUGUGUUGUGAUACUCUACAUGACGUCCUCCGCCCCAGAACGUUUCCGCCGUUCUUGGUUUUGGGGUGUGACAGAUUGGUAUCAGAGCAUUGUUUAUAGUGAAUUGAGUAUAUCAACCCAUAAAAGAUAUACUAACUAUAAACCCAUUUGGGAUUAAAACACUCUGACCAAGAGUCUAUACUUUAAAUAUUAAAAUAUUUAAUUAAGUAUACUAGUCUGCAUUCAUACUAAAAUCAGUGUCACAAUGACAAGAACAAAAGUAUUACGAUUGUUAAAUAUCACAAGUGAGCUCGGGGAUGUAUGGUCAGUCCUGGGAAUGGCAUAGCCUGAUCAACUAUGAUGGUCCGAGGAGUGAUUAGCAUAUGCCCUAGAAUGGUUGUGAUAUGUUAACAACUCUAAAAACUUACCAACAAUACCACAAGGAGAUCAGUAGAACCUAAACUUAAAAUACUCUAGGGGUAUUUUGUGCUACUACAAACUACUUAUAUACUAAAUUCUUAUACCUGUCAUCUCGCGUAGAUUUAAAUGGCUGGAUUCCAUCAUGGCGACCCGUACUUCCCAAAUGAAGGCAAUGCUGGGUGGAUCGAAGAAGAGCCUGAAGAUGAGCAUCCAAUUCCUUUCGAUGAUCACCUCGCAGAAGGCUUUUUCUGAUGGAUCUGACUCUGAACCUGAAGUCAACAACCUACCGCCAGUAGGUCAAGCCCCAGGUCCCACACCCUUGUGGGCAACCAACUUGAAUCGCUGGAGUGACGAACAGGGUCAACCCUUACCUUAUUUUGGGGACCAAAGCUUUUACAACCUCAGCGAAGGUGGUUCUGCGGAUCGAGCUCUGUCCGUCAUUGUCCGCAUAAUAGCUUGUAAUGUUGAGAAAGGUCGAGCAGCCAUCGACCGGGUCAUGGAGAUUGAUGCCAACUCUGGUGUCAACACAGUCCGCAUCCGCCGUCUUGAAGAAGAAAUAGAAAGGACCAGGAGAACCAAUGAAACCCUGCAUAAACAGUUGACUGCCUCCCAAGCCGAAGUCAUGGAAUUUUGAGCCCGUCAGAGGGCUCAUGAGCGACACCUUCAAGAGGUGGUUCGUCAAGUGACAGACCUCAGGGUUCGCCCGAGGAAUUCCCAUUGCCGUUAGAAGAUGUCUAGUACAUCUUUGUCUUUUGGUUAAGGAAUAGCCUUUAGUAUCUGUGCUCUAAGUAGCACUUGUCUGUAAAAUAUUCCUAACUUUCAGUACUCUAAUUAGGAAUCUAGGAACUGUCAAACUUUUCCGUAUGGUAUGAUGUAAGACCUACUGAUAGGUCGAUUUUCUCUGAACUUAUUACAUCAGUAAUACCGGUAUUAUUGACAACUACCUAAUCUAUGGAAAAAUAUGUACACUUGUGUUUUCCUACUAUUCUUCUAUGUUGUGAUCUCAAGACACUCAUUCAACUGUUCGGCUAUGGUUAGUUAGUCCAUGUGUCACUCUCACCCCACUUACAAUUGAUUCUUACCAUUGUGUUUACCUUUAUAAACUUUCAACAGAAAGAUGCCUCCUCGCAAAUCUCCCAGACAUAACCCUGCACNUCCUCCUCCUCUAGUCAUCGAUAUUGCAGCCCUAAAUGCUACAGUAGCAGCAGCAGUGGAAACUACCAUGGCUCAGUAUCACUCUACUGAUGCCAGCAGAGGUGGAACCCCUGGUGACUCAAUUCCUGCUGAAAUCCCUGUGCGCUCGAGAGAGUGCUCCUAUUAGGACUUCACCAACUGCAAGCCAAAGUCCUUCAAGGGAACUGGCGCAGUCAUUGCCUUCUUGCAAUGGUUCGAGAAGAUUGAAUCAGUCUUCGAAAUUGGUUCGUGCCCUGCUGCGAGCAAAGUCAAAUACAUCGCAUGCACCUUUGAAGAAAAAGCCCUGACGUGGUGGACCGGCCAUGCUAAAGCACUAACUCUUGUAGUGGAAAAUGACAUGGGUUGGGAAACCAUGAAGGACCUCAUGAUCGAGGAAUACUGCCCAAGGGGUGAGAUCCAGAAAUUGGAGCAGGAGCUGUGGAGCCUAACCAUGAAGGGCUCCAACAUAGUCGCAUAUACCGCCAGAUUCAGCAAACUGGUCGCCCUAUGCCCCAAUAUGGUUCCCACUGAAGGGAAAAAGAUCGAGAGGUACAUAUGGGGGCUAGUGCCUCCGUAUCAGGGAAAUGUCCUAUCAUCAAACCCUGCUACCUUCGACAGUGCUAAGCGAUUGGCACAGCGACUCAUUGACCAUGGAGUCAAAGCCCCAGCAGCAACAACAACCCUAGCCAUCUCAGAACCCUCCAAACCCGCUGACACUAAGCGGAAGUUCUAGGAUGAGAAGAAGAAACAGCGAGCUGCCAAAAAGCAGCAAAUUGUGGUUGUGCAUGCCGCAAUAACCCCUGCUGUUGCUACUGCUCCGAUGAGGCAGUAUGCUGAAAGUUUGCCUAAGUGCAACAAACGCAACUUCCACCACAACGGCCCCUGCCGUGAAAUGCAGUGCUCUAACUGCAUCAAGAAAGGACACACAGUCCGUUUCUGUAAAUCUCUGGCGAGGCCGAUCACCCAAGUCCCCGGCACUGGCGUGAGCCAGGCUUGCUAUGGAUGUGGCGAGGCGGGCCACUAUAAGAGGCACUGCCCCAAAGCAAAGAAUGCUAGCGGAGCAAGGAGAGUACUAGCAAUAGGCCACGGGGAAGCAAUUGCUGACCCGACGGUGGUGACUGGUACGUUCCUCCUCGAUAACUCCUAUGCAUGCAUUAUGUUCGAUAGUGGAGCGGAGCGAAGGUUCGUGAACCAUAAAUUUGCUCGCAUGCUUAAACAACAACCACACACACUUAAAGAACACUUCACGGUAGAAAUGGCUAAUGGAAAAACUGAAAGCACAAAUAGCAUAUACUUAGGUUGUACCCUAACUCUAGAUAACCAUUCAUUCCCAAUCGACUUUAUGCCAGUCUCGAUUAAAAGCUUUGACAUUAUCAUCGGCAUGGACUGGUUGAGUCAUCGUCGCGCCGACAUCAUGUGCUACAAGAAAGCAGUCCGUCUAAACCUCCCGUAUGACGAAUCCCUUGUCGUCUACGGCGACAAACCCGGUGCGAGUCUUCAUAUUAUAUCAAGUAUUCAAGCACAGAACUAUCUACGUAAAGAAUACCAUGAAUUCCUUGCUCACGUUGUCGAUACGAGCCUCGAAACGAAAGAAUUAAAGAACAUUCCAGUAGUGAGCGACUUUCCCGACAUCUUUCCGGAAGAGCUACCAGGAAUACCUCCACAACGACAGGUCGAGUUCAGAAUCGACUUAGUCCCAGGAGCUACCCCAGUAGCCUAGUCGCCCUACCGAUUAGCACCAGCAGAGAUGCAGGAACUAUCUGGUCAACUUAACGAACUGCUCAGCAAGGGCUUUAUAAGAACAAGUUUCUCGCCUUAGGGAGCACCGGUCUUGUUCGUUAAGAAGAAAGACGGAUCAUUCCGUAUGUGCAUCAACUAUAGAGAACUCAACAAACUGACGGUCAAGAAUCGUUACCCUCUGCCUCGCAUAGACGAUCUAUUUGACCAACUGCAAGUGGCAAACUACUUUUCAAAAAUUGAUCUAAGAUCCAGAUAUCACCAGUUACGAGUGCUACGAUAAAGCAGUCCGUCUAAACCUCCCGUCAAACGAAACCCUUGUCGUCUAUGGUGACAAACCUGGUGCGAGUCUUCAUAUUAUAUCAAGUAUUCAAGCACAGAAAUAUCUACGUAAAGAAUACCAUGUAUUCCUUGCUCACGUUGUCGAUACGAGCCUCGAAACGAAAGAAUUAAAGAACAUUCCAGUAGUGAGCGACUUUCCAGACAUCUUUCUAGAAGAGCUACCAGGAUUACCUCUGCAACGACAGGUCGAGUUUAGAAUCGACUUAGUCCCAGGAGCUACCCCAGUAGCCUACUCCCCCUACCAAUUAGCACCAGCAUAGAUGCAGGAACUAUCUGGUCAACUUAACGAACUGCUCAGCAAGGGCUUUAUAAGACCAAGUUUCUCGCCUUGGGGAGCACCGAUCUUGUUCGUUAAGAAGAAAGACGGAUCAUUCCGUAUGUGCAUCGACUACAGAGAACUCAACAAACUGACGGUCAAGAAUUGUUACCCUCUGCCUCGCAUAGACGAUCUAUUUGACCAACUGCAAGGGGCGAACUACUUUUCCAAAAUUGAUCUAAGAUUCGGAUAUCACCAGUUAUGAGUGCUAGAGGAGGAUGUUCCAAAGAUAGCCUUCUGAACUCGUUACGGACACUACGAGUUCGUGGUGAUGCCAUUCGGAUUGACCAAUGUGCCCGCAGUUUUCAUGGAUCUAAUGAAUAGAUUAUGCCGACCUUACUUGGAUCAGUUCGUCAUCGUCUUCAUUGAUGACAUCCUGAUCUACUCCCGAAGUAAGGAAGAGCAUGGCGAUCACCUGCGACAAGUUCUAGGAACUUGACGAACGGAGAANGAAGUUCUCGAAAUGUGAAUUUUGGAUCCGAAGAGUCGAAUUCUUAGGACACGUGGUAAGCGAAGAGGGAAUCCACGUGGACCCAUCCAAAAUUAAGGCCAUUGAGAACUGGUCAGCACCGAAGACGCCAACAGAAAUUCGUCAAUUUCUAGGUCUUGCUGGCUACUACUGCAGGUUCAUACAGAACUUCUCCUGAAUUGCGAAACCUCUUACAACACUGACCCAGAAAGGCGUGGCCUUUGACCUGGAAGAGAAACAGGAGAGAGCGUUCCAAACGCUCAACCGAGCCUUAUGCACCGCACCAAUACUACCCCUCCCCGAAGGGAUAGAAGACUUCGUUGUCUAUUGCGACGCGUCAAAUCAUGGGCUCGGUUGUGUUCUGAUGCAACGGGGUAAGCUCAUCGCCUACGCCUCGAAACAGAUGAAGACACACGAAUUUAACUACACCACACACGAUCUUGAGCUGGGAGCAGUUGUGUUUGCCCUGAAGAUCUGGAGACAUUACUUGUACGGAACGGAAAGCACUAUCUUUACCGACCACAAGAGUGUACAGCACAUAUUCGAUCAGAAGGAGCUCAACAUGCGACAACGACGGUGGGUCGAGCUACUCAAUGACUACGAAUGCGAUAUUCGUUAUCAUCCGGGUAAAGCCAACGUAGUAGAAGACACCCUAAGUCAGAAGGAAUAUUCUGGUCGAAGAGUCAAGUCAUUGAUGAUGACUAUCCAAUCACACUUGUCUAAGCAAAUUCAGGCGGCCCAGCUUGAUGCCAUGAAACCUGAAAACGUGACGAGUGAAUCCCUUAGAGGAAUGGAUAAAAAUUUAGAAGCCAAGGGUGGCGGAGCCUUAUAUUUCAUGAACCGGAUCUGGACACCGAAACACGGUGGUUUCCGAGACUUGGUCAUGACCGAGGCGCACAACACUCGGUAUUCCGUCCACCCAGGUUCAGAUAAGAUGUAUCUGGAUCUUAAAAAGUUAUACUGGUGGCCUAAUAUGAAAGCAUAGAUUGCUACCUUCGUAAGUAAAUGCCUUACUUGCGCAAAGGUUAAGGUCGAGUACCAGAAGCCCUCCGGUUUACUACAACAACCAGGGAUUCCAUAAAGGAAGUGGGAGCGGGUGGACUUGAUACCAUAUGGGUCAUCGUCGAUAGAUUGACCAAGUCUGCAUACUUCCUGCCUAUCAAAGAAACUAACAAGAUGGAGAAGAUUACGAUGACAUACAUUAGGGAAAUCGUACGGCUGCAUGGUGUUCCUAUAUCCAUUAUCUCCGAUAGAGAUAGUAGGUUCACCUCAAGAUUCUGGCAAUCGCUACAACAUUCCCUGGGAACAAGGAUGGACAUGAGCACGACCUACCAUCCACAAAUCANCAGACCGACGGACAAAGUGAGAGGACCAUCCAAACACUGGAAGAUAUGUUGAGAGCCUGUGUGAUUGACUUUGGAAAGGCAUGGGAUACUCACUUACCCCUUGUCGAAUUUUCCUACAAUAACAGUUAUCACACGGGCAUCAAGGCUGCUCCAUUUGAAGCCCUCUACGACCGAAAGUGCAGAUCCCCUCUAUGUUGGGCUGAGGUGGGUGAUACCCAAUUAGCUAGGGGGCAAGCUUCUGACAAUACUCUCACCGGUCCGGAGAUCAUUCGGGAAACGACGGAGAAAAUCGUUCAGAUUCGUGAACGAUUGAAAGCCUCUAGAGACCGACAGAAGAUCUACGCUGAUAAGCGAAGGAAAACUUUGGAAUUCCAGGUGGGAGACCGAGUCCUUCUUAAAGUCUUACCCUGGAAGGGCUUAAUAUGCUUCGGUAAGCGUGGGAAGCUUAAUCCGAGAUAUAUAGGGCCUUUCGAGAUUCUCGCAAGAAUCGGCCCUGUAGCUUACAAACUCAAUCUACUCGACGAACUUCGUAACAUACAUUCUACAUGCCACGUCUCUAACUUGAAAAAGUGUCUGUCCGAUGAGACUCUUGUAAUCCCACUCGACGAGAUCAAGAUCAACGAGAGCCUCAACUUCGUGGAAGAACCAAUAGAGAUCAUGGACCGUGAGGUCAAGCAGACGAAGCAAAGUCGUAUCCCGAUUGUGAAGGUUCGCUGGAAUGCCAAGCGAGGACCGGAAUUCACUUGGGAGCGUGAGGACCAGAUGAAUCUGAAAUAUUCUCAUCUUUUUGCUUAGUUAUUUGUAACUACUUUAUUUGUUUAAGACUUUAAUUUCGGGACGAAAUUCCCUUUAACAGGGGGAUGAUGUGACAACCCGGAAUUUUCAUUCGGUUAAACCCUAAAAGUCAACCACUUCUUAUUAUAAGUUCAUGUCAUUAUUUCUUAUUUUAACAAAUUUGAAGUUCGUUUGAAUAUUUUAAUAUUAUUUUUAAACGAACGAGUGAAAGAAAGUGUCGUCUCGGGUUUUGAAUUUUAAAAACCGCAAACACCUCGCGUCUUAGAAAUUCCCGACCAAACUUUUAUGUUUGGGUUGAAAACUCUCACAAAAACCAUGAACUCAUGCAUAUGUAUGAGUUUACUCCCCAAGACUAGUCAUUCUUGUGUUUACUCCCCAAAUACCAAAAGAGUAAACUCCAAAAUAUCCUCUCAAGUAUCAUCCUAAAACUUAUUCAAGAUCUUCAAACUUGUAAGUGUUCUAACCAUUUCAAGUUGGUAUAACACUUAAUCUAGUGUUUGUGCAUCUAUUCAUCCAUUCAUUUAUGUAUUUUGUCUAGAUUUCCAAAAACACCAAGAACACACACUAAGUGUUCUUGGACUUUUAGCUCAAAUCAAGCUUCAUUAUAGUAAGUACUUCCAUCUUUAAGACUUAUUAGGCUAGUAUUACAUGUUAGCAUCAAGAAAUAUGUCAAGAACACAAGGAAUAUAGUGUUCACGGUCCAAGAAUGUUCUUGGGCUGUAAACACCAAGAAAGGCACCAAAGUGUGCCUAAGCCCUUAUCUAAGCCCUAGUUUGAUGUUUAAGCCUUCCUUGACAAUUACCUAGAAUGUUCUUUAUGGGCCUUACUCCUUCCUUAGGCCUAAAAACUAACCUAGACAAUUACCUUGUUGUGUUAAGGACUUGAAAACAUGGGAAUACCCUUUCCUAUAUGGUUUUAUGAUAGUAAACCCAAAGGAAAAUGACCAUGAGGCCGUAAACUCCUCAAAGGGGGUGUUUUGUUGCCCUAGUUCCUUCUAAAGGCCAAUCCACCAAGUAGAAAUGUUUUAAAAGACUUGUAAAACCACAAAACAACAUAGGGUCAUAAGGAGUAGAGUUUACGACCGUAAACCCUUGAGUUUACUAUCGUAAACUCCUUGGGUAAUGGUCACUAAAACCGUAAACUCCAAAGGAGUUUACCCUUGAACUCCAAACACUCUAGCUUUGCCCUACAAACACUUGGAUGCAACCCUUGUGGUCUUUAACACUUGAAACAAAGUGUUUUCAUGUUCUAGAGUGUCCCAACUUAAUUUAUUAGUUAUAAAUUGGCUAAUUAUAUAUAUAUAUAUAUAUAUAUGUUCAUUAUAUGAUAACUAGGCUCGUGCGUGUGUACAAGUCUCCGUUUGUCACCUAGCAUCGUAUCCGAUACUUCAUUCCAAUCCACUCACUGCAAGUGAGUUCAUACCCCUGUAACUAACCUUUGAAAUACUUUUAAAUGUUUUAAAUGCUUUUAUGGGGGGAGGUGGGGGGGAUAAAAGUUGAACACUUAUAGUUAUUACAUCAAUCACAUGUGAUUAAUAACUAAAAAACCAAUGAUUUUAUUACUGUUCAAACUGUUUAUCAAAUUGUUUUACUUCAAACUGUUUUACAAAUUCUUUUACCUAUCAAAUACUUUUACUUAAACCCUGUUAUACUUAUUAUAAAUUGCAUGCCCAUAUAUGUAUAGUUAUACAAGCAAUGUUUAAAAGGCUUAGGAAGGUCGCCCGCCCUAUUUCCUUUUCGCGCUUGAGAUGUGGUCUGGUGGGAUAUCAGGUAUCCGUCCGAAGGUUGUUUAAAUAUUAGUUAUAUAUCAUGUGUACAUAUAUAGUCAUUAAAGUUCUUCCAUAUUCUUACGUACCAGUUACAUCAUUAGUAAGUUACCAUAUGGGUAGCACAGGAUAAUACUUAUACUAUUACUAGAACAAUGAGAUGUUCAAUGAGCCCGUUCAUUCAUGAGUCAGUACUUAUUACUAUGAGAACAUAUACAACUAU
rnacentral:lncRNA from 1 species